rnacentral:misc_RNA from 1 species
AAUAAUACAGAUCCCUCCUCAUAAGAGAUUUGCCGCUGAAUGUAUUUAGCUUCAAAUUAUCCACCAUUUCUUCUUUUUCUUAGUUUCUGGAGGCAGCUCUCCUUCUGGAUAUAUUGAAUUGUUGUAGUGAACCUCUGCCCAAAAGCUCAAGAAAAUAACUCUCUCAGACUUCUUAAUUUGUGGAAGGAUCUCAAUGUAACAUGUAUCCUUAAAUGAAGUCACUACAAA